CAAGUCGAGCGGCUCGCAAGAGCAGCGGCAGACGGGUGAGUAAUGUGUAGGAAUCUACCUCAAAGUGGGGAACAGCUCGCCGAAAGGCGGGGUAAUACCGCAUGUGAUCGCAAGAUCAAAGCCGCAAGGCGCUUUGAGAGGAGCCUACAUCCUAUCAGAUAGUUGGCAGGGUAAAAGCCUACCAAGUCGAUGACGGGUAGCCGGUGUGAGAGCACGACCGGCCACAAGGUCACUGAGACACGGGACCUACACCUACGGGUGGCAGCAACUGGGAAUCUUGCGCAAUGGGCGAAAGCCUGACGCAGCGACACCGCGUGUGGGAAGACAGCCUUCGGGUUGUAAACCACUGUGGCAAAGGAUGAAUUUUGACAGUACUUUGCUAGAAAGCACCUGCUAACUACGUGCCAGAAGCCUCGGUAAUACGUAGGGUGCUAGCGUUAUCCGGAUUUACUGGGCGUAAAGCGUCCGUCGGCGUCUUAGCAAGUCUUUUGUUCAAGCCUGGGGCUCAACUCCAGAAAAGCAGCAGAAACUACUAGGAUUGAGUUUGUUUGGGGGAACUAGAAUUCUCGGUGGAGGGGUGAAAUCCGUAGAUAUCGAGAGGAAUACCAGUCGCGAAGGCGGGUUCCUAAAACAAUACUGACGCUCAGGGACGAAAGUCUGGGUAGCAAAAGGGAUUAGAGACCCCUGUAGUCCAGACCGUAAACUAUCCUCACUAGCUGGCUGCUUUGCUAAAAAUAUUUUCAAUCGAUUGAUGAGAUUGAUGAAUAGUAUUUUUAGCUAAGUGGCCGGCGUAAGCUAACGCGUUAAGUGAGGCGCCUGGGAACUACGGCCGCAAGGCUAAAACUCAAAGAAAUUGACGGGGGAGCGCACAACCGGUGGAGCAUGUGGUUUAAUUCGAUACAAAGCGAAAAACCUUACCUAGGU
rnacentral:rRNA from 1 species